UUGAGAGGAUCUGCUCCUAGUACGAGAGGACCAGAGUGGACGAACCUCUGGUGUACCGGUUGUGACGCCAGUCGCAUCGCCGGGUAGCUAUGUUCGGAAGGGAUAACCGCUGAAAGCAUCUAAGCGGGAAGCCUACCUCAAGAUAAGAUUUCCCUAGGACUUUAUGUCCUCUAAAGAGCCGUUCGAGACUAGGACGUUGAUAGGUUGGAUGUGGAAGCAUAGUGAUAUGUGAAGCUGACCAAUACUAAUUGCUCGUGAGGCUUGACUAUACAACACCCA
rnacentral:rRNA from 1 species